rnacentral:rRNA from 1 species
GUCCAUGCCGUAAACGAUGUCGACUUGGAGGUUGUGCCCUUGAGGCGUGGCUUCCGGAGCUAACGCGUUAAGUCGACCGCCUGGGGAGUACGGCCGCAAGGUUAAAACUCAAAUGAAUUGACGGGGGCCCGCACAAGCGGUGGAGCAUGUGGUUUAAUUCGAUGCAACGCGAAGAACCUUACCUGGUCUUGACAUCCACGGAAGUUUUCAGAGAUGAGAAUGUGCCUUCGGGAACCGUGAGACAGGUGCUGCAUGGCUGUCGUCAGCUCGUGUUGUGAAAUGUUGGGUUAAGUCCCGCAACGAGCGCAACCCUUAUCCUUUGUUGCCAGCGGUCCGGCCGGGAACUCAAAGGAGACUGCCAGUGAUAAACUGGAGGAAGGUGGGGAUGACGUCAAGUCAUCAUGGCCCUUACGACCAGGGCUACACACGUGCUACAAUGGCGCAUACAAAGAGAAGCGACCUCGCGAGAGCAAGCGGACCUCAUAAAGUGCGUCGUAGUCCGGAUUGGAGUCUGCAACUCGACUCCAUGAAGUCGGAAUCGCUAGUAAUCGUGGAUCAGAAUGCCACGGUGAAUACGUUCCCGGGCCUUGUACACACCGCCCGUCACACCAUGGGAGUGGGUUGCAAAAGAAGUAGGUAGCUUAACCUUCGGGAGGGCGCUUACCACUUUGUGAUUCAUGACUGGGGUGAAGUCGUAACAAGGUAACCGUAGGGGAACCUGCGGUUGGAUCACCUCCUUA